CACGUAGGGUGCGAGCGUUGUCCGGAAUUAUUGGGCGUAAAGAGCUCGUAGGCGGUCUGUCGCGUCUGCUGUGAAAACUCAGGGCUUAACCCUGAGCUUGCAGUGGGUACGGGCAGACUAGAGUGCGGUAGGGGAGACUGGAAUUCCUGGUGUAGCGGUGAAAUGCGCAGAUAUCAGGAGGAACACCGGUGGCGAAGGCGGGUCUCUGGGCCGUAACUGACGCUGAGGAGCGAAAGCAUGGGGAGCGAACAGG
rnacentral:rRNA from 1 species